GCACCAAAUUGGAGGUUAUCAAUUUGACCGCUAACUGACCGUAAAAGCCAGCUAUGAGGGAAUGACUCUAAGAUCUUGCUUACAAUUGGCGUAAGAGAGAUCGGUCUAAAAUCGGAAUCAAUAUCCAGGGCAGGUGACGAUUUUGGCACAGGAGACACAUUGGCGGAUUUCCACAACAACGGGAUGUUUCCUUCUUGGAUAGAAGCAUUGAAAAUGGAUGCCAAUGGGCGGGAUAGGGAGGCAGAGUUCUCACGGAGGAGCCAAGGAGAAAUCUCAUCUGGACCUGCCGCCGAAUGAGAUUUUACAGAUAUUAGUGCUUUCUCAACUUCAUCAAUGGAGAUAUAGAAAUCUAAAGAAACGUCAUCAACUGCAAUGGGUGUCCACGAGAAUGGGGGAAGGGUGCUUCCUACAGCAACAAACUUGUCGUUAAACAAGUUAGCUAGGGCGGAGCCUGAGUAGGAUUGAUCAUUGUAUAAGAUAGUGGAAACGUUUUUCGUUGCACCAAGGCCAGCUAUGUUUUUUAUGUUGGACCACCACUUAUGCGGAUUUGAUUCAAAACAGUCGGCGACAUUGCUGUUGUAAAAUCUUGAACGAACUCUCUUACAAAGCAUAUUUACUUUGUUUCUGUAGAGAUGGAACAUGAUAUUGUUUCCGCUAUUCCAAGCUGCUUGACGUUUGGAGAUUAAUCUUUUGAUCUCAGAUGUUACCCAGGGCUUAUCGCUACUAUCCGAUUUUAUACGUUUCAUUGGAAGGUACUGGUCGACAAUGCCAUUAACAAUGAAUGAAAAGUAAUGAAACUUAUCGUUGCAAGAGUCCAUUCUAUACAGGGGAGACCAGUUUAUACUUGACAAAGCCUCGAAGACUAACUUCCGAUUAGGGGAACGCGUGUCUCUGACCAUUCGGGUACUCCGGGAGUUCAUACAUUGCUUCAGCGGUUUUAUCAACACUGAGUUAUGGUCAGAGAAACCGACAGGUGGGAGAAUCUCUGGAACGUUAUAAAAUUUGGACGCAUUUGUAAAUAUUUUGUCUAAGAUGUUGGAUCCUCUUGUUGCAUGCUUAACAACCUGUUUAAGGGAAAACGAGUUACAUAGUUGACUGUGCCUAAAUUGGUUAAAAUCGCCUGCAAUGAUGAUAGCUGACGCAGGAUAGGAUGUUAAUGCACUGUC